UACGGGGGGGGGUAAGCGUUGUUCGGAAUUACUGGGCGUAAAGGGCUCGUAGGCGGCCAACUAAGUCAGACGUGAAAUCCCUCAGCUUAACUGGGGAACUGCGUCUGAUACUGGAUGGCUUGGAUUUGGGAGAGGGAUGCGGAAUUCCAGGUGUAGCGGUGAAAUGCGUAGAUAUCUGGAGGAACACCGGUGGCGCAGGCGGCGUCCUGGACCGGCACUGACGCUGAGGUGCGAAAGCGUGGGGGAGCGAACAGG
rnacentral:rRNA from 1 species